rnacentral:tRNA from 1 species
CAAAGAGUAGUUUAACUGAAGUAAUGCCAGCUUUGGGAGUUGGUGGUGGGGGUUAAAAUCCCCUUUCUUUGA